UCUAUCGGGUAAAGCCAAU
rnacentral:snRNA from 1 species